CAACAGUGCAAUGGAUCUAGGAUCAUAUCAUUCAGUGUUGAUGUUUUCCAAGGCAAUGUCACAAUUUCGGCCGAUUUUGAUAUUUCGGACUGUUUUUCUUCAGCCUGUAAAGUCUCGACAAGAUGGACUGAAAGUGCCGACCAAUAUAAGAUCAUCCCAACGAGAUGGGAAGGGGAUUUAUGCUUUCGAUUUGAACUUCUCGGAUGUACUAGCGUAGACUGUUCCACCUCGUAUUGUAAUCUUGGUACUCAUGGUAAAGGGAGCUGUUCAUCAGGU